CAGCCGCCACUCUUGAUGUGCAACAAGUUCAGCAUGUCGGCCGUCUCGGGCGUCAGAUGCUUCCGCAGCGCCCCCUCUUGGGCCAGACGACGGAGGAUGUACUGCUGCACGUCACGCAGAGACACAUUUCGCAGGACGUGGGCCGAAAGCAUUAACAACAUUCGCAGCUGCACGGUGUUGACAGAGCAGACGAGGAGCAGCCAACUGGGGAACAGCUGCAGGUGCUUGGAGAGGAGCUCCGCGAUGGAGUCACUGCCUCCGGCUGCAUCUGAGUCCAGGGCAUCGACCAGCAGGAAGAGGUUCUGUGGUGGUGCUGGGAUUUCCAUCAGAGGCUGCAGGACUGUCCUGGAGAUGGGGAGAUCACACAAUGGCAUGACUUGGGUUUUCAGCUUCUGUUUGAGCUGGAGAUAGUCAGAGCUAACAGAAAAAUAAAUACAGGACCUUUUGCUAACUCUGAUGCUAUUCUACUCAUAGCCUGCUCAUAACCUACUCAUAGGUCGAUGGAUUCUAACUGUGAAACAUCCUAAUGCUAUUUUAUUCAUUUCAGUUUUUACCUUGAGUAACAGUAAAGUUGGAGAUUUGUCUGAUGCUACCUGGUUGGAGAAGUUUGUGGUCAAGUACCUGCGAUGAGCUGAUUUUCCUUUUAUCUGCCCCCAGACUGACCUUUUGACAUUUGACCUUUGGCAGCUCCUGUUACCGCACCUCGCAGUCUUUGACCUCCUCUUACCUUUCCUCAGACAAGCCUCUGACCCCAACUGAUCGCUCUUGAUUUUUGCCAUGGAAAGGCCUCCUCAGAGAGGCAGGUCAGACUGUGCUACAGAACCAAGGUGCAGAUUCCUGCUGGAUCUUGGAUUUAUGGGCUGGGACAGAGC